AGUGCAAAUAUUCCAGCCUUGUCGGCGAA
rnacentral:sRNA from 1 species